rnacentral:lncRNA from 1 species
UUUAGAUACCACGACAGAUCUGAGCCAUUGCACAGAAUCUACACUAACGCUAAAGCAUCAAGUUAUAUGUGAGGUUUGGCCACCCCUGAACCUUUUACAAAGAUAAAUGAGGGACACAACAUUGUACUUCAUGAAGAGAGACGCGGAAUGAUAAGACCACAUGCACUUCUCUCCAACUAAUCUCUAUAUAAUAUAUUCUCCAAAUCAUCAAUUCUUGAGAAGAUAAAUCGAUGCAUGAUUAUUAUUUUUUUCACAUAACUGUAUAUUUUUUUUCCAAAAUUACUAUAUUUAUUUCAAUAAAGACAAUUAUCGAAUCUAACUUUACCUUGAAUAAUCCUCUAGCUCUAGCUCUUGAUAACAUAAUUUUUUUUUAAACAUCUAUAUAU